rnacentral:tRNA from 3 species
GGGGGCAUGGUGAAACAGGUAAACACAGCAGACUUAAAAUCUGCCGCCGUAACAGGCUUCUCGGUUCAAGUCCGAGUGUCCCCACCA